GCCCAAUUACAACUCAUGCAGAUACCAUGAAAGGCGUGGUGCUUAACAGCAGGACGGUGAUCAUGGAAGUCGAAUCCGCUAAGGAGUGUGUAACAACUCACCUGCCGAAGCAACUAGCCCUUAAAUGGAUGGCGCUUAAGUUGUAUACCUAUACAUUACCGCUAAAGUAGAUGAUUUAUAUUACUUGUGAUAUAAAUUUUGAAACUUUAGUGAGUAGGAAGGUACAAUGGUAUGCGUAGAAGUGUUUGGCGUAAGCCUGCAUGGAGCUGCCAUUGGUACAGAUCUUGGUGGUAGUAGCAAAUAAUCGAAUGAGACCUUGGAGGACUGAAGUGGAGAAGGGUUUCGUGUGAACAGUGGUUGAUCACGAGUUAGUCGGUCCUAAGUUCAAGGCGAAAGCCGAAAAUUUUCAAGUAAAACAAAAAUGCCUAACUAUAUAAACAAAGCGAAUAUAAUACACUUGAAUAAUUUUGAACGAAAGGGAAUACGGUUCCAAUUCCGUAACCUGUUGAGUAUCCGUUUGUUAUUAAAUAUGGGCCUCGUGCUCAUCCUGGCAACAGGAACGACCAUAAAGAAGCCGUCGAGAGAUAUCGGAAGAGUUUUCUUUUCUGUUUUAUAGCCGUACUACCAUGGAAGUCUUUCGCAGAGAGAUAUGGUAGAUGGGCUAGAAGAGCAUGACAUAUACUGUUGUGACGAUAUUUUCUCCUCGGACCUUGAAAAUUUAUGGUGGGGACACGCAAACUUCUCAACAGGCCGUACCAAUAUCCGCAGCUGGUCUCCAAGGUGAAGAGUCUCUAGUCGAUAGAAUAAUGUAGGUAAGGGAAGUCGGCAAAUUAGAUCCGUAACUUCGGGAUAAGGAUUGGCUCUGAAGAUUGAGAUAGUCGGGCUUGAUUGGGAAACAAUAACAUGGUUUAUGUGCUCGUUCUGGGUAAAUAGAGUUUCUAGCAUUUAUGUUAGUUACUUGUUCCCCGGAUAGUUUAGUUACGUAGCCAAUUGUGGAACUUUCUUGCUAAAAUUUUUAAGAAUACUAUUUGGGUUAAACCAAUUAGUUCUUAUCAAUUAUAACGAUUAUCAAUUAACAAUCAAUUCAGAACUGGCACGGACUUGGGGAAUCCGACUGUCUAAUUAAACACAAAGCAUUGUGAUGGCCCUAGCGGGUGUUGACACAAUGUG
rnacentral:ncRNA from 1 species